AAUGUGUAUUGACAUUGACAGGAAAAACUGACAAUCAUACACAUUAUCAAAGGCUCUGCAGAGGAUUUCUUUCGUGGCCUAGUUUGAAUCCAAGAGAUAUAAAUAGCAAAAUGAAUAAAUAAUAUCUUAAACCGAUCGAUCUUGGACUCUUGGAUUAUUAGUUUUCUUCGAACGUCUUCGGAUCAAUCUUGCUUUGUUCGAAUGCAUCAUGCGCAUAACGCAUUCGAUGCAACUCGCUUUCUUCGCGAUGGCCACGAAUUUCUAAGUUACGUUGUUUGGCAAACACGUAGGAUAUGAUUCCAAGACGAUCCUCUCUAAGUCGCUCGACCGUCUUCCCUCGCUCUUCGUCGGGGACAGUGAAUGACGCCAGGUAUAUUCACCGGCUUCCAUGUGAAUAAACGGCAUCCGGUUUAUUUCCCGGAAUCGGAGCAGGUGGUCGCAACACAAAAACAGCUGGAUCAUUUUUCCCUGAUUUUUCUUUUUCGCCUGUAAAAUUACAUGAUCGCACACUUAUAUCAUCACAAUGAAAAUAUCGAAAUCAACCAUUGUUCUCUUGGUCUUUGUGCUGAUGUUGUCCAUCUUUGUGGCAAAUGUAGCAGAUCUUAUCAGCGUUGACUCUCGUCUGCCGGACGAGAUUUUGAGAGAUAAUAAUGGGGAGAUACUGUGGUCCAAGCCAAAAUAUUAUGACAUAGGAAAGUCGUAUGAUCAUUUGAUAUGGUUUUUACAGGUAUCUGACUUACAUAUAAGUAUCUUUAAAGAUCCAUCUAGGAUAUCAGAGUUAAAAGAAUUCUGUAACAUGACGAUAGAUACAAUUAAGCCUACAGUUGUUCUUGCUUCAGGAGAUUUAACUGAUGCAAAAAGUAUAGAUGAAAUGGGUUCUAAGCAAAUACUCGAAGAAUGGCAAUACUAUAAAUAUGUAAUAGACAAGACUAAUAUCAAAGAGAAAACGUUAUGGUUGGAUGUCAGAGGGAAUCAUGAUAAUUUCAAUGUGGUCAGUCUUGAUUCCAAAAAUAAUUAUUAUUCUAAUUAUUCUAUUCAAGGAAAAAAAUAUCCCAGAUCUUAUAUGUAUAAUGUUAAUAUUGGUUCUGAAACAUACUCCUUUAUUGCAAUUGAUGCUUGCUUGAAACCAGGACCCAAAAGACCAUUUAAUUUCGUUGGUAUUUUAGACCAACAGGAGAUUGAUAAGAUACAACAAUUAGUUAAUCAGUCUAAAGAAAGCAAUGCGGAUCACGCAAUUGUAUUUGGCCAUUAUCCUACAUCAUGCAUAUUGUCACAAUCUGAUACAAAUAUCAGGAAUAUUCUAGGUAGAUACAGACAAAAUAUGGUGUACCUAUGUGGCCAUUACCACAUGCUUGGUGGUAUGGUACCCAACAUGUACACAUUACAAAAAGCGGGCUUCCUUGAGUUAGAAUUGGCAGAUUGGAAAGACAAUAGAAUGUAUCGCCUCGCAGCAAUAGAUCAUGGUCAGUUCUCAUUCAUUGAUAUAAAGCAUAAUGACUGGCCUGUAGUAUUAAUCACCAAUCCAAAAAAUAUGCUAUUUAUGAUGCCACAAAAAGAAAAUUUGAAAUCCAUUAUUACAUCCACGCAUGUCAGAAUACUAGCGUUCUCUACAGUUUCAUUAAAAAUUGUUGAAAUUCAAUUGGACGACGAUGUUUGGCAAAAAUGUGAUCACAUAAAAGGUCCUCUUUAUGUGCUGCCAUGGAAUUCGACAAAAUACAGAGAGGGUAUACAUCAAAUAACAGUACGUGUAAUUGAUAAAGAGAGUAGAGAAAAAGUUGUAUCGCAUUCUUUUUCUCUCGAUGGAUCGUGGUUAUCGUCACGCAUUUUACCCAAAUUAGUACUGAUGUUCAACGUCGUUCACAUCUUUCGGUUUCUAUUCGCUGUAACACUUGCAAUAUCAGUAGUGCCACUGUGCUUACUCCGAUUUCUUCACAUAUAUUAUAAAACUCUUUCUGAUUUAGAUAGACAUAUGCAUAGACCACGAUUACGUAUCAAGUUUUUUCAUUGGUGGCUUAGGAAAUUGUGGAUACUAUCCACCAUUGAUAGAGCAUUUUACGGACUGGUGCUAUACUCGUUGUAUUUAACUGUCGGUCCAUGGACUGUGGGAGAAAUAAUCGAGGAUCAUAUAGGUGUGAUCUUUAUAUGGGGAAUAUUCAUCGGAAACAGAUAUCUACCAGGUGGUUUCACUUACGCCUAUGGAUACUUUCAAUUAUGCUGUUUCUAUUUACCGCUUAUGCUAAUUAUAGCGCAUCGAGUUGAUCAUUACAAGACGCUGAAAAUCCUGCAAGACAACACAUGUCGAAAUUUCGUUUAAUUUGGCACUAUGGCCCAACUUGGGUGUUAAUUUUGAUACAAUCCAUUAUGACCUAUAUUUUAUACCUGGAGUAUGGUAUAAUAGCAAUAUUAUUAUGCCCGUUACGAACUGGGAGUAUCAUUAUAGCAGCACUAUUAUGUUAUUAUGUGAACACAAUGCCACUCUCAUGCUUAAGGUCUGCUGCAUCUGUGUGGUCUCCUCAUGGAGCCAUCAAUAACAACAAUGCAAUUUAAUAAAAACGGUAGGAUAAUACCGUUAUGAGGAAAUAUUGGUAAGUUAAUGUUUCAUACAAAUGAUUACUGCAUUUGUGCAUUUGUGCAAUAUUAAAUUUACGAGAAAGUUUUGAAUAGAUUCUUUAUUGUAAUAUACAUUAUAUUUCAAGUAGAUAUAUAUAUAUUGUGAAAUUGAAAAGCCAACUAAAAUGAUCGGGUAUUGAAAUAUACCUGAAUAUUUCUUUUUUUGUGUUAAAAUAUAUUCAAAACAUUUCUUUUUUUUUAAAUUACAUAUUUCAAGAGCCUCUUUUGAACACUAUUUGCAUUUUGUAAAGAAGUCGAUGUUCCUUUAACAAGUGCCACAUUACUUUAUAUUAUUCAAAUGUAAUAAUCUAUUAUAUUAAUUAUUCUUAAAAAGUUAUAUAUGUUUUGAAACUCAUAAUUUAUAUUAAUUAUCUUUGAACUGCAAUAUGCUUCUGAAGCAGAUAUUGUAAUGUGAUAUUUAACGUUGAUGUGAUUCUGCAUUAAUACAGCCGCUGCUCUCUUUUACUUCCAUAUUGUCCAUAGUUCAAACUCAAAAGUUCCUUUACAAAUAGAAAAAUGUUCUUAUUUUAAUUUUUUUAUUUUUUUCAAUGGGAAGUCAAAUUAGAACACUACAAAAAGAGAAAGAUACAAACAGAAUAUGUAAUAUAAAUGUUGCUAUAUUUAUAUCUCUGUCAUCUGUCAAGUUUUAUCUCUUCUCUGUGAAGUUAGAGAUAUAUUAGAACAACAGAAUGUGUGAUAUUUUCCACUUUAAACGGUGGAAUUCUUCAGAAGACAAAGCUGUAUUAUAACUUUAGUGCUCUCGUUCAGAGUUUUUAACUGAAUAUCCCAAUCACUUUCCUGUGACAUAUAUUUUUCUACUUCUCUAUAUAUUCAAGAGUCACAUUGUAUUUUUUUCAUGACAGUACUCUUAUACAUUUAAAAAUAAUCUCUUCUCAGGUUUAUAUCUAUAAACUUAUAUGUUAAAUGUCUUCACAAUUACAAAUACAUCACAAUUACAAAUACAUCACAAAGAUGGCCAAGCUAUAUUAGGCAUGUAGAGUUUGACAAACAAAAACUUAUCUUCUUGUUGUAUAAGACAGAAUCGUCAUACAAAGUGUAUCAAGAGCACCGACAAUCAUACUGAAUCAGGCUGAUCUAGAUAUAGCAAUUAGAUUUGAAAUUUUUGUGCCAUUUGUCCACAAUAUGUAAUAUAAAAAGGUUGGCUAUCUUUGAAAGAUAUAGAAUGCUACAAGAAACUGGUGAAAGUAAUAUUAUUCUAUUAAAGUGUAAUUAUGCGGUACCAAAUAUGAACAAACAUGUAACAAUACGUAUCAGAGAAUUUCUUAUUUCGUAUUCAGUAGUAUAUGUAUGUAACAAUAGAUGACAAAUAAAAAUUUGCGA